rnacentral:rRNA from 1 species
CGGACGGGUGAGUAACACGUGAUAACCUACCUAUAAGACUGGGAUAACUUCGGGAAACCGGAGCUAAUACCGGAUAAUAUAUUGAACCGCAUGGAUCAAUAGUGAAAGACGGUUUUGCUGUCACUUAUAGAUGGAUCCGCGCCGCAUUAGCUAGUUGGUAAGGUAACGGCUUACCAAGGCAACGAUGCGUAGCCGACCUGAGAGGGUGAUCGGCCACACUGGAACUGAGACACGGUCCAG